CCAAUAGCGUAUAUUAAAGUUGUUGCAGUUAAAAAGCUCGUAGUUGAAUUUCGGGAUUGGCGCAUCGGUCGUGCCUCACGGGGUAUGAACUGGUGCAGUCAAUUUCUCACCUUCUGGAGAACCGCGAUGUCCUUAAUUGGAUGCCGCGGGGAACCAGGACCUUUACUUUGAAAAAAUUAGAGUGUUUAAAGCAGGCAUUUUUGCUUGAAUACAUUAGCAUGGAAUAAUAAAAUAGGACGGCAUGGUUCUAUUUUAUUGGUUUCUAGGACCACCGUAAUGAUUAAUAGGGAUAGUUGGGGGCAUUAGUAUUCAAUUGUCAGAGGUGAAAUUCUUGGAUUUAUUGAAGACUAACUACUGCGAAAGCAUUUGCCAAGGAUGUUUUCAUUAAUCAAGAACGAAAGUUAGGGGAUCGAAGACGAUCAGAUACCGUCGUAGUCUUAACCAUAAACUAUGCCGACUAGGAAUCAGACGAUGUUAAUUUUUUAAUGACUCGUUUGGCACCUUACG
rnacentral:rRNA from 1 species